rnacentral:rRNA from 1 species
CCCUUAGAUGUCCUGGGCUGCACGCGCGCUACACUGAUGUGUCCAGUAAGCACCUAACCUCUUCCGAAAGGAACGGGUAACCUUUGCAAAGCACAUCGUGAUGGGGAUAGAUUAUUGCAAUUAUUAGUCUUGAACGAGGAAUUCCUAGUAAGCACAAGUCAUCAGCUUGUGUUGAUUACGUCCCUGCCCUUUGUACACACCGCCCGUCGCUCCUACCGAUUGAAUGGUCCGGUGAGCUCUUCGGACUGCGCGGUCUGCAGUUUCUGCGUUCCGUGCGGAAAGUUGCGCAAACCUUAACAUUUAGAGGAAGGAGAAGUCGUAACA